rnacentral:rRNA from 1 species
GGCGGCGUGCUUAACACAUGCAAGUCGAACGGAAAGGCCACAGCUUGCUGUGGUACUCGAGUGGCGAACGGGUGAGUAACACGUGGGUGAUCUGCCCUGUACUUCGGGAUAAGCUUGGGAAACUGGGUCUAAUACCGGAUAGGAAUCACAUGUGGGUGUGUGGUUGGAAAGCUUUUGCGGUAUGGGAUGAGCUCGCGGCCUAUCAGCUUGUUGGUGGGGUAAUGGCCUACCAAGGCGUCGACGGGUAGCCGGCCUGAGAGGGUGUACGGCCACAUUGGGACUGAGAUACGGCCCAGACUCCUACGGGAGGCAGCAGUGGGGAAUAUUGCACAAUGGGCGCAAGCCUGAUGCAGCGACGCCGCGUGGGGGAUGACGGCCUUCGGGUUGUAAACUCCUUUCGUCAGGGACGAAGCGAAAGUGACGGUACCUGGAUAAGAAGCACCGGCUAACUACGUGCCAGCAGCCGCGGUAAUACGUAGGGUGCGAGCGUUGUCCGGAAUUACUGGGCGUAAAGAGCUCGUAGGUGGUUUGUCGCGUCGUUUGUGUAAGUCCACGGCUUAACUGUGGGAUGGCAGGCGAUACGGGCAUAACUUGAGUGCUGUAGGGGAGACUGGAAUUCCUGGUGUAGCGGUGAAAUGCGCAGAUAUCAGGAGGAACACCGAUGGCGAAGGCAGGUCUCUGGGCAGUAACUGACGCUGAGGAGCGAAAGCAUGGGUAGCGAACAGGAUUAGAUACCCUGGUAGUCCAUGCCGUAAACGGUGGGCGCUAGGUGUGAGUCCCUUCCACGGGGUUCGUGCCGUAGCUAACGCAUUAAGCGCCCCGCCUGGGGAGUACGGCCGCAAGGCUAAAACUCAAAGGAAUUGACGGGGGCCCGCACAAGCGGCGGAGCAUGUGGAUUA